CCUGUUCUUGGUUACUUGCACU
rnacentral:miRNA from 8 species